CAUCAAGAAGCAUCUGUCCGGUCUGUCGUUCAACGCAGCUCUUAUAUACAGAUUGGUGUACCCUACGGCGCACCAAUCACGAGACUCCAUACGUACGGAGCCUCGUGAUUGGCUAUUGGGAUCAGUCUCCCGCGACGGCCGCGACGCGUGCGUGCGAGUCAGUCUCGUUCCAGACGUGCAGGACGUAGGUUGUCGGUUGUCGAGUUCUCGGUCUUCGCGUACGCUGCUAUCGUGUAAUGCCCAAUUCUGGAAUAUCGGCGACUCCUGAGUGGAUCGCGAGGAAGUCAUCAUCGUUCGAUGAGGCCCUCUGAUAAUUAGUCUUGAUAAAAGCAGUGAUGCGUCUGUUUUAUUCGUGCGUGAACAAGCUCCCGCAAUUUUCGUCUCGAUUUCGUGCGCGAAUAAUGCAAAUAAACGGGAGUGCAAAUCCGGGAGUGUUGUGUUUCGACGCGAUGGACCGAAUAAUCUUCUCGAAGAGCAUCUGGGCGUCGACGGGGACCCGGGAGUUUCGGAGGAUCGCGAAUCGAUGGACGUAAUCGAAGGGAGGAAGGACGUUCCGUCGUGAUUUUCGCUCGUCAUAGAGCUUCGCGAGGAUUCUCAAAUCGGCGAUUAAAAUUGUGAAGGAGUGGCGACCGUUGCUUGAAAAUUGUGGUACCGAGUGUCGCUGAGUGAUGUCGCGCAAGUGUCACUUUGCCAUGACACUUUCCGUUCACUUUGCGAUGUCACGAAAUUUAUUCGCGAGUGAUCUUAUUUUUUCGUAUUGUCCGUUCGUUUCGAUGUGCAUCUGUGUGUAGUAAAAUGCGAUAAAUAAUUAUUACAAAUAUAAAUAAUAAGAAAAACAGUGCAGUGAUCAGUGCCAAACCAUAUGGGAUUAUAGCAGAGCAGCAGUGGAACAUUAAAGCGGAUAUAUUAAAGCAGAGAGGUUAAUCGACUUAACGCAAUAUCAAUGUGGCUGUGUACUACAACUACGCUAUUGCACGUAUCGAUAGCAUUACUGAUAAGUGCGCGAGAUUCUCGAGUGUCGAACGGACGUUGCUUCGUGCGAUUAUAGUUUUUUUUAUUGUACGUAAAAUAUGCAUGCAAUUAAUUAACGUGUCGCGUCGGGAGUGCCGUCAAGUUUCGCGCGUCGGAAGUGCCGUGUUAAGUGUCGGGCGAUCGUAAUUAUUCGCGUUUUCGCGAGUGUCGUGAGUGCUAUGAAAGACCAAGCGAGGAGGAGGAGGCCGAAGGAGGCAUCUGGCGACAGCGGGGCAAC